rnacentral:rRNA from 1 species
AAGUUAAGUGGUAAAGGAUGUGGGAUUGCACAGACAACCAGGAUGUUGGCUUAGAAGCAGCCACUCAUUCAAAGAGUGCGUAAUAGCUCACUGGUCGAGGGAUCCUGCGCCGAAGAUUUCCGGGGCUAAAACUUACUACCGAAGCUACGGCAUCAGUAAUGAUGGGUAGGGGAGCUUCCCAUACGGGUUGAAGCAUGACCG